rnacentral:tRNA from 1 species
GAGGGUAGAGCUCAGUGGUAGAGCACGUGCCUAGGACUCACGAGGUCUUGGCUUCAAUCCUCAGUACCUCCA